rnacentral:rRNA from 1 species
AUUGAACGCUGGCGGAAUGCUUUACACAUGCAAGUCGAACGGCAGCACGGACUUCGGUCUGGUGGCGAGUGGCGAACGGGUGAGUAAUGUAUCGGAACGUGCCCAGUCGUGGGGGAUAGCGGAGUGAAAGUUACGCUAAUACCGCAUACGAUCUACGGAUGAAAGCGGGGGACCGUAAGGCCACGCGCGAUUGGAGCGGCCGAUGGCAGGUUAGGUAGUUGGUGAGGUAAAGGCUCACCAAGCCGACGAUCUGUGGCUGGUCUGAGAGGACGACCAGCCACACUGGGACUGAGACACGGCCCAGACUCCUACGGGAGGCAGCAGUGGGGAAUUUUGGACAAUGGGCGCAAGCCUGAUCCAGCCAUUCCGCGUGCAGGACGAAGGCCUUCGGGUUGUAAACUGCUUCUGUACGGAACGAAAAGGCUCUGGUUAAUACCUGGGGCUCAUGACGGUACCGUAAGAAUAAGCACCGGCUAACUACGUGCCAGCAGCCGCGGUAA